CCUACGGGCGGCAGCAGUGAGGAAUAUUGGUCAAUGGGCGCAGGCCUGAACCAGCCAAGUCGCGUGAGGGAAGACUGCCCUAUGGGUUGUAAACCUCUUUUAUAAGGGAAGAAUAAUGACUACGUGUAGUCAGAUGCCCGUACCUUAUGAAUAAGCAUCGGCUAACCCCGCUCCACCAGCCGCGCUACUACGGAGGAUGCGAGCUUUAUCCGGAUUGAUUGGGUUAAAGGGGUAGGUAGGGGGUAUUUUAAGUUAGUGGUAAAACGUCGGGGCUUCACCUUGAUUGGCCAUUAAAACUGGGGUACUAGAGUACAGACGAGGUAGGCGGAAUAAGUUAAGUAGCGGUGAAAUGCUUAGAUAUA
rnacentral:rRNA from 1 species